ensembl:lncRNA
GUGAAACCUUGACGGUGGGGUGGUUGGGUGACUCAGCUCUCCUCUCACAAUGAAAACUGUCUGAAAGAGAUGCUGGCUCAAAGAACGGAUUCACUUCAGCACACAAGGAGCCCAUCCGGGUCUUUAUCUUUCUGUUGUUCUUUUAUUUGGAAAUACAGAGUGAGCCCAGGGCUUGCCCUCCUGCUGUUUCCUCUAAGACUGAGAACACAUAAUCUACCCACUGCAGCAAAACAGAAUGAAGAAAAAGGGAGACGAAAGGGCAUGGAAGAGGAAGAGAGAGAGUUCAGGAGUAAAAGAUCAAUUGAAGAGACAUGAGGUACCUGUGAGGAAUGGACUGGAAAAUUAAAAAUCACUGUCAAAAAGGAGGUAAUCCUCUGCAAAAUGUAUCACAUAUUCAUGUUAAUCAAUUUUUGAUGACAAAAUCAUUUAAAUGAGGAUAAUUAAAAGACAUCAUAAUUUUGCGAUAGAGUGAAGCAUUUAAUAGGGUCCACAUUGAAACCCGAUAAAAGGCAAUUUUGCCCAUUAGAUAGUUGUACAUUUAUAUGUAUUUGUAUUUUAUAUUUAUAUGUAUCAGUUUUCUGGCUGCUAAAAAUGAACAACCUGCAGGGCAAAGCAUUUGUGUAUAAAUCGCAGCAGCAGUGCACAAUACAUCACAUCAUGAAAAAGAUGAACGACUGUGAAUGAAUGAAUCAAACUAAUCAGAAUGCCGACGUGGUUUUCUAUGCAUCAAUUUUUAACAUCUCUUUAUGUGGGCGAAGACAAAUCGUAUACAACAGUGAAUUGCUCACAGUGCUCCAAUUUCUUAAUUUCCUUUAGUAGUCACUGCUUAUUUGCACAAGCUCUAACUUUAGCCAGGUCUCAUUAAAAAUGAAUGGCUUUUGUUUUCGGUCAGUGUGAAAGAGCUUUAGAGAAAUGACCUGUACACACUAACAACAGCCAGAGCAUUCAGUUAUUUUGUGCCUUCUUUACCAGUAGCCUCUUUUGUUCUUUUCUCUAUUCCGGUUUUUACUCAAAUACAUUUUAAAGCACC